rnacentral:rRNA from 1 species
AACGAACGCUGGCGGCAUGCCUAACACAUGCAAGUCGAACGAAAACUCCGGGUCUUGUGGCGCACGGGUGCGUACGGAGUGGGAAGCUGCACUUAGGUUCGGUAUAACUCCCCGCAAGGGAUGCCUAUGCCGGUUCAUGUCUUCGGACCUAAGAUUUAUCGCCUUUGGAUGGGAUCGAGUUGGAUUAGGUAGUUGGUAAGGUAAAAGCCUAACAAGGCGAUGAUUCAUAACUGGUCUGGGAGGAUGACCACCGACACUCGGACUGAGGCACAGCCCAGAAUCCUACGGAAGGCAGGAGAGGGGAACAUAGUACAAUGGGCGAAGGCCUGAUGCAGCAGUGCCGCGUGAGAGAUGAAGGCCGUAGUGUUGUAAUGCUCUUGUACCCGGGAUGAUAAUGACAGUACCUGGAGAAGAAGCUCCGGCUAACUCCGUG